UACGUAGGUGGCAAGCGUUAUCCGGAUUUAUUGGGCGUAAAGAGAACGCAGGCGGUCUUUUAAGACUGAUGUGAAAGCCUUCGGCUUAACCGGAGUAGUGCAUUGGAAACUGGGAGACUUGAGUGCAGAAGAGGAGAGUGGAACUCCAUGUGUAGCGGUGAAAUGCGUAGAUAUAUGGAAGAACACCAGUGGCGAAAGCGGCUCUCUGGUCUGUAACUGACGCUGAGGUUCGAAAGCGUGGGUAGCAAACAGG
rnacentral:rRNA from 1 species